rnacentral:rRNA from 1 species
GAACCUUUUUCCUGUCAGAGACUAUGUUAUUCAUUAUACUCUGUAGAAUGUCAUUGAAUGUUUUUACGUGGGCUUGUAUGCCUAUGAAAAUUAUUAUACAACUUUCAGCAACGGAUCUCUUGGCUCUCGCAUCGAUGAAGAACGCAGCGAAAUGCGAUAAGUAAUGUGAAUUGCAGAAUUCAGUGAAUCAUCGAAUCUUUGAACGCAUCUUGCGCUCCUUGGUAUUCCGAGGAGCAUGCCUGUUUGAGUGUCAU